GACGAACGCUGGCGGCGUGCCUAAUACAUGCAAGUCGAACGAGACCUUCGGGUCUAGUGGCGGACGGCUGAGUAAUACAUAGAUAACGUGCCCUUUACUGGGGGAUAACACCGGGAAACUGGUGCUAAUACCGCAUAAGUGCUAGGUUGAAACGCCUGUCAUUAAAGAAUUUCGGUAAAGGAUCGGUCUGUGCCGGAUUAGCUAGUUGGCGGGGUAAUAGCCCACCAAGGCGAUGACCGUAGUUGGUCUGAGAGGAUGACCAGCCAGAGUGGGACUGAGAACGGCCCACACUCCUACGGGAGGCAGCAGUAGGGAAUAUUGCGCAAUGGGCGAAAGCCUGACGCAGCAACACCGCGUGGAGGAUGACGUUUCUAGGAACGUAAACUCCUGUCGGCAGGGAA
rnacentral:rRNA from 1 species